rnacentral:rRNA from 1 species
UACAGCGGUGCCAAGCGUUAGGCGGAAUCACUGGGCUUAAAGCGCGUGUAGGCGGGUCGGUAAGUGUCCGAGUGAAAUCCCACGGCUCAACCGUGGAACUGCCGGGCAUACUGGCGAUCUUGAGGCAUUCAGGGGCGAGCGGAACAAAUGGUGGAGCGGUGAAAUGCGUAGAUAUCAUUUGGAACGCCAAUGGUGAAAACAGCUCGCUGGGAAUGAUCUGACGCUGAGACGCGAAAGCCAGGGGAGCGAACGGG